UACAGAGGUCUCAAGCGUUGUUCGGAUUCAUUGGGCGUAAAGGGCGCGUAGGUGGCGCGCUAAGUCAGGUGUGAAAUCUCGGGGCUUAACUCCGAAACUGCAUUUGAUACUGGCGUGCUUGAGGACUGGAGAGGAGACUGGCAUUUACGGUGUAGCAGUGAAAUGCGUAGAGAUCGUAAGGAAGACCAGUGGCGAAGGCGGGUCUCUGGACAGUUCCUGACACUGAGGCACGAAGGCCAGGGGAGCAAACGGG
rnacentral:rRNA from 1 species